CCAGACUCCUACGGGAGGCAGCAGUGGGGAAUAUUGGGCAAUGGGCGCAAGCCUGACCCAGCAACGCCGCGUGAAGGAAGAAGGCUUUCGGGUUGUAAACUUCUUUUAAGAGGGAAGAGCAGAAGACGGUACCUCUUGAAUAAGCCACGGCUAACUACGUGCCAGCAGCCGCGGUAAUACGUAGGUGGCAAGCGUUGUCCGGAUUUACUGGGUGUAAAGGGCGUGCAGCCGGGAAGACAAGUCAGAUGUGAAAUCCCGCGGCUCAACCGCGGAACUGCAUUUGAAACUGUUUUUCUUGAGUACCGGAGAGGUCAUCGGAAUUCCUUGUGUAGCGGUGAAAUGCGUAGAUAUAAGGAGGAACACCAGUGGCGAAGGCGGCCUGCUGGGCUCUAACUGACGCUGAGGCUCGAAAGCGUGGGUAGCAAACAGGAUUAGAUACCCCUGUA
rnacentral:rRNA from 1 species